GUAAGCUCUUUCGCCAGGGAUGAUAAUGACAGUACCUGGUAAAGAAACCCCGGCUAACUCCGUGCCAGCAGCCGCGGUAAUACGGAGGGGGUUAGCGUUGUUCGGAAUUACUGGGCGUAAAGCGCGCGUAGGCGGAUCAGAAAGUUGGGGGUGAAAUCCCGGGGCUCAACCCCGGAACUGCCUCCAAAACUCCUGGUCUUGAGUUCGAGAGAGGUGAGUGGAAUUCCGAGUGUAGAGGUGAAAUUCGUAGAUAUUCGGAGGAACACCAGUGGCGAAG
rnacentral:rRNA from 1 species